CACCACAGACACAGUCAACGCUGAUUAGGGCAGAGGAGAGUGGAAAUCAUGAGAGAUGCACGGAAGACAGAGGAGCAGAAACGCGACAAGGGGGAGAAGGGCGAGGUCUGCUCUCAUGCCGUCCUGCUCCGCCACCGCUGCUGCCAUCGAUUAGAUUGAAUUUUCACUAAGAAAAAUGAACCACCCAAAUAUUGUGAAGCUAAAGGAAGUUAUUCGAGAAAGUGACAUUCUGUACUUUGUUUUUGAGUACAUGGAAUGCAACCUAUACCAACUUAUGAAAGACAGGGAGAAGAUGUUUUCUGAGGGUGAAGUUAGGAAUUGGUGUUUUCAAGUUUUCCAAGGUCUUGCUUAUAUGCACCAGUGGGGAUACUUCCACCGUUAUCUGAAGCCUGCAAAUGGAGAUUUAUACUAUGGUCUAUUCUGAUUUUGGCCUAGCACGUGAGAUCAGUUCACAACCACCCUACACUGAGUAUGUCUCCACACGGUGGUAUCGUGCUCCUGAAGUGCUACUUCAAUCUUAUCUGUAUAGCUCCAAAGUUGACAUGUGGGCAAUGGGUGCUAUAAUGGCUGAACUGUUCUCUCUUCCUCCUCUUUUCCCUGGUGCCAGACUAUUUCGUGAACAGUAUUGUAUGACAAGAAGACUGGAACUAAUUUGCUUCAAUGGCCAGUGGAAGAAAUAGAGAGCUUGAGACUUAGCAGUGAUGAAUUUAAGGAAUUAUUGGUUAAACCUGGCACAGUAGUGCCAUUACACAUUGGCCCUGCAACACAGGAUUUUUCCAUAGUUAUUGGUUGCAUUGUUACAACUUGUAUCUCACAGUAAUCAUGGUUUUACUUUACAUUUUCCUGAUUUUUAUUUAUUUAUUUAUUUUUUGUUGUUCAGUUGGACAUAUUUUUUGGACCAUUUGGCAUUUUGGCUAUUGCAAAUGACCAACUUUCUGAACUAACACCAAUUUAUUUCUGUCUUUCAAAUUAUGUAAAUGGAACCUCAACUACUACAACUAUUACUACUUCUACUUCUACUUCCUUCUGUGUUGAUGAAACUAGGUCAUCAAAGGCACCUGAUGUAUCAAAACUAGUUUUCGGAAGCAAAUUGCCUAUUCUAAGUGAUGAAAAACUAUCAUUGAAGCUUUCCGAGGCAAAAAAAUGAGAGCGGGCCUUUACGAAUAGAGGACGCCGGAAUCAGUUGCGCUCAAUGGGAGAAGCCAAGAAUUUGCUUCAAUAUAUGUUCAAUUCAGUCGCAGAUGUUAGGUGCU